GGUGAUACAGAUUUUCCCGGGUUUUCUGACCAGUGAGGAAAGUGAUCCUAGAGAGAGAUCAGUACGAGCGCCACCUCUAGUCCCAAUGGGAACAGCAGGUACCUGGGGGUUAGCUGGGUGGGGGGCGGGGUGGGUGGGUGCCUGGUGCAGUGUGUCCAUUAUGAUGGGGGCUCCUGGACACCCCCAUGAUCUCGCUGGAGCCCCACCCAUAGUACUGAUCUCUGGGUGAUUGACCUUGCCAGGGUUACAGCCUUGGCACAAAGUGCCCCAGGCCUAACAGGUGGUGCCGCUUUCUUAGGAGACUCUCCAAGGUAGAUUCCUAGGCCCACCCACACUCUCCCACCCUGGACACUUCUUGGACCUGCUCUGGACCUGUGGCCCUGUGGUCUCAGGUAGGUGACGUGACCCAUGUGGGUUUCCUUGUCUGCAUGAUGGUUGGGUGACGACGCAUCAUGGGUUCCACCAGCUUUUUCCCUCCCAUUGUGAAGGAGGCCACGCCAUACAGCUCCCCACCCCACCCCUGCUCUAUAGCAUCAGCAGGGCCUCACGACUCUGACUCCUUUCUCUGGCCAAGUAGAAGGCUAAGGCCCGCAGGAGUUAACUUCACACAGGUGAUCUGUCUGAGAUCAUGUUGGAGGCCUGGGAGAGCUCCACUCGGCCCAUUUCAUUACAGCCUGCUCGCGUUCACCUGAGAAAGGGGCCCGUUUUCAAAAUCAUGGCUACUUCUCUAAAUCAGCAGACAGCAGCCUGAAGAUCACCCGUAAAUGUCUGCUGCACUGAGGGCUGUUUUGGCUAAUGGAAAAAGGACACCAAGUUGAAGAUCCAUCCAGCCUUUCUGCUUUCAGUGUCCUUGGAGCCAUCAGCAGCUGUGUCCCCCACAAAGCCCUGACACUACUCUGUGUGACCCCAGAGACUGUUCCCAGCAGGAUGUCCAUCCCAUCAGCUGAGAGUCCUCAUGGUCAGUCUCAUGGACCUGUCACGGAGGCCAGCCUGCAGGGCAGGACACAGGAGCACAGGCCGAAGAGGGCUUCCUGUGACUGCUAAGGACAAGCCUUUUGCUUGGCACCUGGCCUGCAGCUGUCGGCCGGUCUGCACCUGCCUGUGCACCCGCUUUUGGGGUCUUUCUCCCUCACCCCAACUGGACCCCUGGCCUGGCCAGCCCUCCCCACCCUUGGGAAGCCUCUCACCGUCCAGCCCUCCUUGGACAUCACAUCCCUUUCGUCUGAUCUCUCUGGGGAAGCCUAUUUGCUGUCCAUGGCUUCUAGUUCUUCUGGAUGAGCACCCAGGGGAUGGCCAGAGCUGCUGUGCCGACUGA
rnacentral:lncRNA from 1 species